rnacentral:lncRNA from 1 species
AUUCAUUUCACAUAUUUUGACUAAACCAACAGUAUAUCAGAAACAACCUCCCUACCUUUCCCAAGGUAGGGAUAAGUCCGUGCGCACACUACCCUCCUCGAACGCCAACUUUAUUUCCGUGUCUUCCUCUGGACUGUUACCCGAUCAAGAAGUCACACGUCAAAAAGAUGAAAGUAGUGAAACGAGGAUGUUGAGAUGGAUGCAUAGGUAUACUAGGAGAGACAGAAUUAGGAAUGAAGAUACCGAGGACAACGUAGGAGUAGCCACCUUGGCGGACAAGAUGAGAAUGUGAGGCUAAGAUGGUUCGGACAUGUGAAGAGGAGACACACAAAUGUCCCAGCGAGGAGGUGUGAGAUCGAGGUUGCCUAUGAUGGGUACGAGGAGAGGUAGAGAUAGGCCGAAAAAGCGUGACUAUACAAGACAGCUGAUUCCGCAGCUUACCGAGAACACGACACUAGAUAGAAAGAUAUGGUAAGGUAGACGAUAUAGUAGGUAUUAUUUGUUGUUGCUACGACUCUCUUUUCCAUUAUUUUCGCUAUGUCUGCGUGCUUCAUCGCUGUAGUUGUUUUACAUACUUAGACUUUUGAUAUUUUCUACUUGAAUCGACGAUUCUACCUCUCUACCUAUCUCAGGAUAGGAAUAAGGCGGUGUACACACUACCAUCUCCGAACCCC